GACGAUCAGGAGGCCCGCCUCUAGUCGUGCGACAUCGA
rnacentral:sRNA from 1 species